UCACCUCCGCAGGCUUCGGCCCCAGGCUGGCCUGGGCGAGCACCUCUUCGAAAGCCUCACCCUCAAGCACCACUAGGAGC
rnacentral:pre_miRNA from 1 species